GUUUGAUCCUGGCUCAGAUUGAACGCUGGCGGCAUGCCUUACACAUGCAAGUCGAACGGUAACGCGGGGCAACCUGGCGACGAGUGGCGAACGGGUGAGUAAUGCAUCGGAACGUGCCUGGUAGUGGGGGAUAACUGUUCGAAAGAGCAGCUAAUACCGCAUACGACCUGAGGGUGAAAGGGGGGAUCGCAAGACCUCUCGCUAUCAGAGCGGCCGAUGUCGGAUUAGCUAGUUGGUGGGGUAAAGGCCCACCAAGGCAACGAUCCGUAGCUGGUCUGAGAGGACGACCAGCCACACUGGGACUGAGACACGGCCCAGACUCCUACGGGAGGCAGCAGUGGGGAAUUUUGGACAAUGGGCGCAAGCCUGAUCCAGCCAUGCCGCGUGCGGGAAGAAGGCCUCGG
rnacentral:rRNA from 1 species